rnacentral:snoRNA from 1 species
AUGCAUCUAUUUGACAGACCUGGAGCAAUUACUCUCUGCUGCUAAGGUUCCAGUGCAGAUGCAAGAAAAAAGGGUCAUUGCGCUUUCUGCCUGUCUGAUGGUGGCAGCCAAAAUUGAAUGGGGGAGUAUAGGA